rfam:Colletotrichum salicis strain CBS 607.94 Scaffold_2181.1, whole genome shotgun sequence.
GGCUAGCUCAAUCGGUAGAGCGUGAGACUCUUAAUCUCAAGGUUGUGGGUUCGACCCGUAAGCGCCA